ACCAGACAUGGCAUCCACGUUCUUACGCCAGUCGGUCACUUCCUCUUUCUGUGGGCUUUAUCAUUUGUGUUAAUAUCCUGGAUUCAGGCUGCUAUGAGGACUUCCAGGAAAUAGCAG